rnacentral:sRNA from 1 species
ACGCAACCGCGUGAGGGAUGGCAGUGAAAAUCCUUUUGCCGGGCCCCGAACGAUUGGGGCCGGCAAAAGAUUGCAACGUACAGCCCGACGGCGA